rnacentral:tRNA from 1 species
AUAAAAGUAGUUAAAGUUGAAUAACUUUAGAUUUGCAUUCUAAGAUUGAGAAUUAUUUCCUUUUAUA